rnacentral:rRNA from 1 species
GACGAACGCUGGCGGCGUGCCUAAUACAUGCAAGUCGAACGCAGGGGGGGCGGGUGAGUAACACGUGGGUAACCUCCCAUCAGAGGGGAUAACACUUGGAAACAGGUGCUAACCCGAUAAUGAUGGAUGGACACGCGGUGCAUUGGCUAGGUGGUGAGGUAAGGGCUCACCAAGGCCACGAUGCAUAGCGGACGUGAGAGAGUGAUCGGCCACACUGGGACGGAGACACGGCCCAGACUCCUACGGGAGGCAGCAGUAGGGAAGGUUCGGCAAGGGACGAAAGUCUGACCGAGAAACGCCGCGUGAGUGAAGAGGGUUUUCGGAUCGUAAGACUCUGUUGUUAGGGAAGCGGUAUCUAACCAGAAAGCCACGGCUAACUACGUGCCAGCAGCCGCGGUAAUAC